rnacentral:ncRNA from 1 species
GAUAACUGGCUUGUGGUGGCCAAGCGUUCAUAGUGAUGUCGCUUUUUCAUCCAUCGAUGUCGGCUCUUCCUAUCAUUGUGAAGCAGAAUUCACGAAGCAUUGGAUUGUUCACCCACUCAUUGGGAACGUUUAGACCGUAGGGAGCUGGGUU